AACGAACGCUGGCGGCAUGCUUUACACAUGCAAGUCGAACGGCAGCGCGGGGCAACCUGGCGGCGAGUGGCGAACGGGUGAGUAAUAUAUCGGAACGUACCCAGAAGUGGGGGAUAACGUAGCGAAAGUUACGCUAAUACCGCAUACGAUCUGAGGAUGAAAGCAGGGGAUCGCAAGACCUUGUGCUCCUGGAGCGGCCGAUAUCUGAUUAGCUAGUUGGUGGGGUAAAGGCCCACCAAGGCAACGAUCAGUAGCUGGUCUGAGAGGACGACCAGCCACACUGGAACUGAGACACGGUCCAGACUCCUACGGGAGGCAGCAGUGGGAAUUUUGGACAAUGGGCGCAAGCCUGAUCCAGCAAUGCCGCGUGAGUGAAGAAGGCC
rnacentral:rRNA from 1 species